GGGCCUUGGGGCUCUCUUCAGAAGGGGUCCCUUUUUCUCUGUCCCCUGAUGGGAAUCCAUGAGGAGGAGUUCUGAAGUCCCGGAGAAUUUAUAAAAACCGAUUCAUAAAAAUGGCAUCCUGGUUGUAUGAAUGUCUUUGUGAAGCUGAACUUGCACAGUAUUAUCCUCAUUUUACUGCCCUUGGCCUUCAGAAAAUAGAUGAAUUAGCCAAGGUUACGAUGAAAGACUACUCCAAAUUGGGAGUCCGUGACAUGAAUGACCGCAAACGUCUCUUCCAGCUGAUCAGAAUCAUUAAGAUUAUGCAAGAAGAAGAGAAGACAGUCAGCCCAGACCACCCUUUUCAGACAAGCAGCCAGUACAUUAAGACUCAGGAAUUCAGAUCUGGCCCUCGCAGACAACUACAGUUUGAUUCUCCUGUUGACAACAAAGACAGAACUGCUAGCAGAAAUGGGUUUGAAAUGCAUAAUAUGACAGAUUUCUCUGCAAAUGAACAGAAGUCCACUAAGCUGAAAGUGCUGGAACACAUGCUCCCGGAAGAUUCCCAGUACCGUACAAAAGCACGAGCUCCGAGCGCCACAGCUGCUGAGUCCUGUGUGCAAACAGAAACUAAAGCUUCACUGUUUUCAUCACAUCUCUUUUCUCCGAUACUUGGAAAUUGUGAUAUUCCCAUUAUUCAGAGAGUCUCUCAUGGUUCAGGGUAUAACUAUGGAGUCCCUCAACCUUGUAUCAGACAGAACACCUCAGAUAAAGAGAAUCCUUGGACUGAGAUGGAGAAAAUCAGAGUCUGUGUUCGAAAACGACCUCUGGGACUGAGGGAGGUACGUCGUGGAGAAAUUAAUAUUAUUACUGUAGAAGACGAAGAAACUCUACUUGUGCAUGAGAAAAAAGAAGCAGUAGACCUCACACAAUAUGUUCUGCAGCAUGUUUUUUAUUUUGAUGAAGUCUUUGGUGAGGCGUGCACCAAUCGAGAUGUCUAUUUGAAGACUACUCACCCCCUCAUUCAGCAUAUUUUCAAUGGAGGUAAUGCCACUUGCUUUGCAUAUGGACAGACAGGUGCUGGCAAAACCUACACUAUGAUAGGAACCCAUCAGAACCCAGGAUUGUAUGCUUUGGCUGCCAAAGAUAUCUUCAGACAACUGGAAGUGUCCCAGCCAAGAAGGCACCUCUUUGUGUGGAUCAGCUUCUAUGAAAUCUACUGUGGACAGCUUUAUGACCUCCUAAAUAGAAGAAAAAGGCUCUUCGCGAGAGAAGACAGCAAGCACGUGGUGCAGAUAGUGGGACUGCAAGAGCUCAGGGUGGAUACCGUGGAGCUCCUCUUAGAGGUGAUCCUGAAGGGCAGCAAGGAGCGCAGCACCGGGGCCACCGGGGUUAACGCGGAUUCCUCCCGCUCCCACGCCAUCAUUCAGAUUCAGAUCAAAGACCCAGCCAGGAGGACCUUCGGCAGGAUCUCUUUCAUUGACUUGGCUGGCAGUGAAAGAGCAGCAGAUGCCCGGGAUUCAGAUAGACAGACGAAGAUGGAAGGUGCAGAAAUAAACCAGAGUCUUCUGGCUCUGAAGGAAUGCAUCCGAGCACUGGACCAGGAGCACACCCACACUCCCUUCCGGCAGAGCAAGCUAACGCAGGUUCUGAAGGACUCUUUCAUUGGCAAUGCCAAAACUUGCAUGAUCGCUAACAUCUCACCGAGCCACGUGGCCACGGAGCACACUUUGAAUACCUUGCGCUACGCUGACCGGGUCAAAGAGCUAAAGAAAGGCAUUAAGUGCUGCACUUCAGCUUCCAGCCGAAAUCGGGUGUCUGGAAAUACCUCUCCAAAGAGGGUCCAGAGCUGUCCUGUAGCCCUGCCCGGGGACAAGUGUUCUCCAAAAAAAGUCAAGCUGGGGUUUCAGCGGGCAUUCGCAGGGACACCGGGCUCCACGCGGGGGAAGGCCCACCCUCUGGCCAGCCACCCACCCAACGUUCCUUGUGCUUCCACGCCGCAAGUCCCUGGUAGGAAGGGCAGCUCCGGAAGGAGUCCUCCUCAAGAGUGGGCCGUGCAGACUAGCCCUGUCAAAGACACCGUGCACUCUGGACUUCUGACCAAAAGAGGGGCAGAAGAAUGGGCACCGCUGUGCUCCGAGAGAAGCCAUGUGGCCAACAGGACUGCGCUUGCGUGGGCACGCAGGGCCCUAGGCCCGGCAGAAGGCCCGGCCCGUGGUAAGCUGCCCAGCAAGGGCAGGAAGGUGCAGACGGUGCAGCCGGUACAGAAGCAGCCUGUGUCGCGCGCUGAGCUCUCCUCUGGCAGCAGCCACCGCUCAGCCGCGGGCAGCCGGGGCAGCGAGGCAGGCGCACCUGCCAGGCCUGCCGCCGAUGCUUGGACAGGCAUCCCUCCGCAGCAGAGGGAAAGGGAGGAGCAUUUGCGUUUCUAUCACCAACAGUUCCAGCAGCCUCCUCUCCUCCAGCAGAAGUUAAAGUACCAGCCACUGGAAAGGUUCUUAUGCCAGUACCGGGCCCCAGCGAGUCAGCUCCAGGACGACGCGCCUCCCUCCCAGGCCUGCUCCGACAGCCCGGACGGAGCUCAAGCCGAGGACCUGGACGACAGUGACUUCAGUGAAGAUUCCUUUUCACAUGCCUCCAGCCAAAGGGCAGCAAAGCAGAGGAGCGCCCUGGAGAAGGGUGAGAGCUCGUUCUUCCUACAUCAGGACGGGGAGCAGAGUCCGGCAGGGCCGGCGGCAGGAAGGCGGCACGGUCUGCUUUUCCACUCCAGGACAGGUGGAGACGAGAAAGCUCUAACUGAAAGCUGGGUGUGCUCCGGGGACGCCCCAGGCCGUAGGAGACCAGCGUUCAGUCAUCGCCACAGCCCGGGUAAGCUGCGCCUGGACUGGAGCCGGGAGGAGAACGGCGCCGCCUCAGAGCCGCCUUCCUGCGCACGGCCCGAUCUUGUGUACGCCCAGAAAAGAAGUGGUCCAGCUGCGGACCUCAGACAGGACGCCUCCGGAAGUGAGGUUCCUGGGGAGCCUGAGGGCAGCUUGCCAUCCCUGGAAGAUGGUUCCUCUUUAUCCCACAUUGUAGUUCCUGGGUCCGCAGACCAGGGAGACACAGGUACCGCACAACUGAGAGAAGUCGGCGAAAAGAGCCCAAGCCAGGUGACCAGAACCGCAGCAGAGAAUAACCCUGUCCAAGGAGAAGGCUCCAGCGGGCAGUCCAGCACCUGCUCCGAGUGUGCUUCCGGACACAUGGCUCCCCUCACCGUAUCCCUGCUCGCGACUCCGGACGGGGACAGCCGGUCUCUGGAGCAGCCCACCCGGGACGGGGCCGUGCGCAGCCCAGGGGUGGAGGGCACGGGGGCGCCGGCUGCGGGCCACACGGCGUCACCUGGCCGCCACGAGGCAGCCUCGCGGGCCGGGCCCCUGUGGCUCUCUUCGUCUCCCCCUGACGACAGGCCAGGCGGCGCUCUUCCCGCUUUGUCCCCGUCCCCCAUCCGUUGUCAUCCACCUGACAAGCUGCCCGGUAGGGAGGCCGAGCAGAGACGGGCCUGCCCGAGCAGGGAGCCUGUGCUCCUCUCCCCGGAGCUUGUGGGCGCGGAGCAGUGUGAUGCCGAUGCUGACGAGCCGGGGCUGGAUGGCUGCUGGGGCGCCCCUGGGGAGCCCUCCUCCGCCCCACGAACUGGGCCAUGCCACUCUGGAUCUGCAGUUGCCCUGCCAGCAGGAAGUUGUGACGCGGCUGACGAGCCCUGGGGCCAGGACAGGACAUAUCCUGGGGGGCUCUGUUGGCGGGAGCUCGGUUUACCCACAGACCCCAUGAGGUUGUCUUGCGACGGUGAAGACGUCAUGUGGCUCAAGCGCAGGCCACGCUCCAGGUGCUUAGUAUCGCCAGACUCUGCCCUGGUUCCCGGCUACUCCCCCAGGACUGCGGGGACACUGUGUCAGCCCGCCCUGCAGCAAGCACAGCAGGCGGUCAUCCACGCACACCGGGAGCAGCUGGAUGAGAUGGCUGAGCUGGGCUUCAAGGAAGAGACUCUGGUGAGCCAGCUGGUUUCUAACGAGUUUGAAGAGUUCGUCACCCAGCUGGAUGAAAUCAUGGCUCUGAAAUCCAAGUGCAUCCAGAGUCUGAGGAGCCAGCUGCAGCUGUACCUCACCUACCAGAGGCCCUGAGAGGAGCGCUGUCAGAGUAAGGUCUUCCCGCAGACGGUGGGGGCGGUACAGGAGGGGCCUGCGCAGGGCUCUCGGGCUUAGCGAGCCUUGUGCCAGGUCUUCCCCGCACACACCAGAACCCGCUCCCUAGGGCCCUCCAUCCCCCCUCAGUGCAAAGCUUGGGAGCUUCUGUAAGAAAGGAUGGGCCAAGCUGAGGACCGUACUGCCCGUCCUUCUGUUUGGGGGUCAGAGAGCAUCUGCUUUACUGAUCCCACGUGGGAACACAUCUGGGGCUAAGAACUCAUACACAUCCUUAUUUUGAGAAUUAGAGAACAAGAUGGUAACCUACAGGUCAGAAGUCAGAGCCGGGUGUGGUGGCGCACGCCUGUGAUCCCAGCACUCGGGAGGCUGAGGCAGGAGGAUCGCCACAAGUUUGAGGCCAGCGUGGGCUACAUGCAGGUGUGGGGCAGGCUUUAUGCUGCCCUCCCUUGCUGCAGUGCAGCUUUGAGACAGAAGAGGGCGCUCACGUCACGCAUUUUUCUUGUGCCGUCUCCUGCUGAAGUGGCAGACUGCCGGGCUGCUUUCGGGCUCCACACUUCCCACAGCCCUUAUGGAGUAACUAACGCCACGGGAUGUCAGGCAAGUCGACGUCCUGGGCUCAUCGUCUCCCAGAACACCCUCGCUGGCCACCGUCCCACUCUCAAGGGCCUGUGUUCCGUGUCUCAGCCUGAGUGCCCGAACCACACAGAUGCCUUCAACUAGAUGUUUUUAGCAGAAAGCGUAAGGAAACAGGUGGCUAACAAGUGCCCAUCACUUUCAGAGGCUGCCUGCAUCGCCCUGAGCUUCCUGUAUCAGGCCUUGAGGCCCAUUAUCGUGUGAAGAUUUGUUUCUUUCAGGCCAACAACUUACCGGUUUUAAGGAGUUUAAUGGAGAAGGGAUAAAUGGUUCUCCAGACUGAAGCAGCCACCGUCUCGAUGGUGCUCACCCUGACCAGCAGAGGGCACCGUGCUUCCAUCUUCAGGCCCUGCACCCCUCUGCGCGUGGUCACUAACAGGAGACCCCCGCCCAGGCAAAAAGCCCCAGGGCUAACGAGGUAGUGUUAGGGCGGGAAUCUCAGGAAUGCAUUCUGUCCAGUUCAGCAGCACCACUGCAAGCUGGGGAAGUACCUUAAACCCAGUCCUGCCCACGGCACAGGGAAAAUAUAAGCCUGCUGCUGCUCACGGGAAAGAAGACUUUUCUCACUCCCUGCUUGACUCUGCUGAGGACCCAGCCCAUCCUACCGCCACGGUUGGCCUGCAGACAUCAGAACUAGGUGGCGUUUAAACAGAUCCUGGUUUGGGCCUGCCUCUGCAAACCAAAGAGCCUGAGCAGACUAGAGGGCCAGCUAGCUCUUGGGUCCCACAGGCCCAGAAUUGGAAAUACAUACUGAAAUGACAGAAAAUGGAUAGGCCCUGCUCUAACUCCGGGAAACCACAUUCCCAUUCACUGACCUCAGUAAAAUAAACACCUCUUGACAAUAAAGAAGAUACCACAGCAGGAUGUAACUUUUAGAUUUUUAUUAGUUCUCUCUGAAGAAUCAAAAUAGUUAGCAAAUUAUUUUAGAUUCAUGAAGACUGUAUAUCCUAUGUAUUUAGAUCUUUAAUGAUAUACAACAUAAUAUAAAACAAAGAAACUGGUUUCUA